rnacentral:lncRNA from 1 species
UGCUUGAUUGACGGACGUCGAGGGCGAAACAGAGCGAAGGUGCUGCAAUGCGCUGCCUUGCCACAAGAGCAACACGGUAGGAUGACUAAAGGACGCAACACUUCUGGACGGGAAUUACAUGUUCAAGAAUUGUUUUGAAAUGUACAAGGAAGAUAUUGGCAUUCUCCUUCCGCCAUCAGCUGUUCAACAUCUGCGAGCUGCAAAGGCUCUCCUGUAUGACAAGGAAGCAGUAGACGCGUCAUUCGCAAUGCUCAUUUUAUGUGCUUCCAAGGGAUGCGGCCAAAGGACGACCUGCGGAUGUGCGAGUCACGUUUAUGGGAGCUGCAAAAAAGAAUUAAAGUGUAUCCCCAGUGUUUGUUGUAUACUUUUAUUAUACUAUAACAGUAUAUUUCUGAACAAACCAUCUGAAACAUGGCGGAUCGGUGGCACUGCAGAAAGCCGAUGGAUGCUUGUCAAAGCAUAGAAAUACACAAAGCAGCAUAAAAUCUUGCCACUUGUGUGGCCGUUGCAUCUUUCCCUUGCCCCAAGGAAGCACGCAGCGCAGUGAAGCAGACUUACGAGCUGCCGUCCAAGGACGCGGCACAUGCUCAACAUAAAUUUUUCUCACUUAAA